GUAGGUGGCAAGCGUUGUCCGGAAUUAUUGGGCGUAAAGCGCGCGCAGGCGGUUCUUUAAGUCUGAUGUGAAAGCCCACGGCUCAACCGUGGAGGGUCAUUGGAAACUGGAGAACUUGAGUACAGAGGAGGAAAGCGGAAUUCCACGUGUAGCGGUGAAAUGCGUAGAGAUGUGGAGGAACACCAGUGGCGAAGGCGGCUUUCUGGUCUGUAACUGACGCUGAGGCGCGAAAGCGUGGGGAGCAAACAGGAUUAGAUACCCUGGUAGUCCACGCCGUAAACGAUGAGUGCUAAGUGUUAGGGGGUUUUCCGCCCCCCUUAGUGCUGCAGCUAACGCAUUAAGCACUCCGCCUGGGAGUACGGCCGCAAGGCUG
rnacentral:rRNA from 1 species